AAAAAACUUCGCGGACAGUUUUUACAAUGUAUUAGUGUUAAGGAAAUGUUAAAAAAAGUCUAUUUAGGAUAUUCUUAGUAUUAAGGUGAUUUGGUGGAUUAUUUUUCAUUCUCAAGAUGAACAGUAAUAUUACGAAAUAAAACAAAAAAAUGUGUCCAAAUGUCUAACGCAAUAAUAUUUUAUACAAAUAAAAAUAGCAACUUCUUUUUUUAUACGAAUUUUAAAUAUUAGAAAAAUUGUGUCACAUAGUGUACGGUACCAGUUAAUGAAAACGUUUCAACGGCAGAUAACCUCAAAUAGAUAAUGAGGUUAAGAACCAACGAAGAGAAAGCAACGUGUUUUUGGAAUAAUAAAGAUGUUUGUUAUGGAA